UAAGUUUAAUAAUUCAUCUAAUUGUCCCGUUCACUUCGUCGGCAAGAUGGCAACAAACUAUGUAAACACUAAGCAGGUAUUUCGCUUGACCUUGAUUACCUUGAAUUAUAUUUUACGUUGGAGUAUUAGUUUAUGAUGAUUCUUAGAUUUGGUGUUGAAAUUUGUGCUAGUUAUAAUAUUUUUGAAAGGUUAGAUAAGUAGUUAAAAUGUUGCUAGUGGAUUGUUUUUGGAUUGUUGGGAUACUGAAGUGUUUUGAUUUUUUUAUGCUUUUUAGAAUUUAAUAUGGAACCAAAUCGACAUUUUGCCAAGAAAGGAAGAACCUUAUUAUCUUUCUUUACAAAGAGCAACAAAUCCGAGGGUGUUCCAACUCCUACAGUACCCAAUCCUCCAAUUGCUACUCCAACUCCUACAGUACCCAAUCCUUCAGUUGCAUCUCCUAAAAUUGACCAGUCUUCAUCUAUCAAUGUUGAGUUAGAACCAUCUGAUUCUAUAGAACGAGACCCAGGAAAAUGAAAGCAAAUAUAUGAAUAUCCGUUUAAUGAACGUGAUCAAAUUAGGCGUGCCUAUUUAAAAGCUGUGCCUUAUCAACCAAAACUUUUGGAGUAUCAAAGCAAAGAAUGUGGAAAAUAGAAACGACGAUUUCAAGAGCAUUGGUACAAUCAGUAUUCUUGGUUGGAGUAUUCACCUUCAACACAAAAGGCAUAUUGUUUUUUCUGCUUCCUUUUUCUCAAUGAAAGUGUUCCACCUAAUAUUUCAUCAUUGGUUACUAUUGGAUUUGAAAGUUGGAAGAGGAUUGGCCAAGGCAGUAAAUGUGCAUUUCUUGUUCAUAUUGGUACAACAUCUUCAUCAUAUCAUAAUGGCUGUAAGAGAAGAGUUGAAGAUCUAAUGAAAUCAACUCAACAUAUUGACAAGGUAAUACACGUUAUAUCAAGUGAGGAAAAACAAAAAAAAUCGUUUGCAUCUAAUGACCACAAUUAUGAGUGUUAUGUGGCUAGCACUUCAAUGUUGUUCAUUUAGAGGCAAUGAUGAAUCUCCAUCUUCACUUAAUCGUGGGAAUUUUCUUGAAAUAGUAGAUGCAUUUGGAUAAAUGAAUAAAAAAAUAGGAGAAGUUGUGUUGGGUAAUGCCCCAAAAAAUGCUACAUACACAUCUCCAGACAUUCAAAAAGAGAUCUUGAGCAUUAUGGCUAAUAGAGUAAGACAGAGAAUCCGUAAAGAAAUUGGGGAUGCAAAGUUUAGUAUUCUUGUUGAUGAAGCUUGAGAUGCAUCUUCACAAGAACGAAUAGCUAUUAUCUUGAGGUUUGUGAAUGGUAAUGGAAUUUUGACAGAACGUUUUUUUGCAAUUAAAAGUGUUAGUGACACUACAUCAUUGAAUCUUAAGAAUCAAAUUUCUAAUGUUUUUGUUCGUCUCAACCUUCAAGUGCAAAAUAUGAGAGGUCAAGGGUAUAAUGGUGCUAAUAACAUGCGUGGUGCUUGGAAUGGACUACAAGCAUUAUUUCUUAUUGGUUGUCCAUAUGCAUAUUAUGUCCAUUAUUUUGCCCAUCGUUUACAACUCACGUUUGUUUCAGCAGCUAGGGAUGUCGCAGAUAUUAAUUCGUUCUUUUCAGAUUUGGACAAUGUUAUUAAUAUGAUUACAUCAUCUCCUAAGCACAUCAAUGAGUUGAAAAGUUCCCAAAAAAAAAAAAGAAAUUGAACAUUUUUUGGAAAUUGGAGAACGAGAGAUUGGAAGUGGGGCUAAUCAAAUUGGUAGCUUGCAACGAGCUGGAGGUACUCGUUGGUCUUCUCAUUACAACUCUGUAAAAAGUUUGAUUGAUAUGUAUGUUGCAACUUGAUAGGUGCUUGAGUAUCUUAGUGAUUAUUCUCCAAAUGUAAGAACUCGGUCUGAAGUGGGUGGUGUAUACAAAAAAUUGACAACAUUUGAAUCUGUAUUUAUUUUGCAUUUAAUGCAUAGAAUGGUAGCAAUCACGAAUGUGCUUUGUCAAGCCUUUCAGAAAAAAAACUCAAGAUAUCUUAACUGCUAUGAAAUUUAUCCAUACUACAAAAACCAUCAUUCAAGAAUUUAGAGAAGAUCGUUGAAAAGAAUUUCUUGAAGAGGUGAAUUGUUUUUGCUCAAAAAAUGAUAUACAUAUACCUAACUUUCAUGGUUCAUUUAUGGUUGGUCGUUCUCAUGGUCGUGAGUAUCCUACCAUCGAACAUCAUUACCACUUCGACAUUUUUAAUGUGGCCAUAGAUUUUCUGAUGACGGAGUUAGAUACAAGAUUUAAUGAGACAUCAUUAGAACUCCUUUCUCUUGGUGUGGCAUUGGAUAUGAAAAAUUCUUUUGAAUCAUUUAACAUGGAUAAUAUUUGCAAGCUUGUAGAGAAAUUUUAUCCUCAAGACUUUACACAGCAAUAUAUUUAUAGUUUGAAAGUUAUGUUCAACAUUAUCAGCAUGAUGUGAUUUCUGAACCUCGAUUUCAAGUAUCUACACUUUCUGAUUUAUGUCAAGAAUUGGUUUUGCAAGUAGAAUAUCGGAGAGUUACAUCAUUUGACUAAAUUGAUUCAUCUAGUGUUGACACUGCCUAUUUCAACGACUACCGUGGAGCAAGCAUUUUUUGCAAUAAAACAUGUGAAGAUGGAAAUUCUCAACAAAAUGGAUGAUGGUUUUCUUGCUGAUUGUAUGACACUUUACAUUGAACGAUAAUUUUCUUUGAAUUUAGAUUUAGAUUUAGAUUUAGAUUCUAUUAUUGAUGAAUUUUAUGCUAUAAUGCAUCGUCGGGUACAACUGCAAUUAAUAAUAUUAUAUUAUGACUUUUUUUGUUAUUUAUUAAUUUUAUUCGUACAUUAAAUUUCUAAAGUUUUGCCCCUCGUACCAUUAAUUCCUGGCUCCGUCCCCGCUGCUUCGAGGCUCUAUCUGAGCCAGCCAAUUUGAAAGUGCUCAAAAAAUUGUACAACUGAGAUGUAAGGUCUAGAUAUAGUGUUACUCUUGGUUUCUUAUCAUAGCAAGAAUUCAAUUAUUUAACAAUACACUUUUUACCAGGUAUCAUAGGAUGAAGUUAUUGUGUCUGAUUGUGGGUUGCAGGAAUACCAAUAACACCAAGUGUUGGGUGGUCUUGGAUCUUCUCAACCAAAAAAGCUAACUCGAGAAGUGAGGUUCUCUCUCACACUUAUAAACUGACCACCAACCCCUUCCACAAUCAAUGUGGAACAAUCUCAACAAUCUUCCCCUCAUACAUUGGGCCUUAUGGGUGAGUAAUCCCGUAUCCCCCUCACACAUCGAGCCUGCAGGAGACCAGACCUGUCUUCCUCGCACACAACGGGCCAUGAAUGAGACCAAACGUGUCUCCACCUCUCACAAACCCGCAUCUUCCAUGAUUAUUGGGCUUGAGACUUGUUGAUAAACUAGGCUCUAAUACAAGUGUUGGGUGGUCUUGGGCCUUUUCAAUUCCAAAAGCAAGCUCAAAAAAUGAGAUUUUCCCUCACACUUAUAAACUAACCACUAGCCCCUUUGACAACCGAUGUAGGACAACAUCGACAUAAAGGCCAUUCAAGGACACAAAACAGUUGUUAUGUCGAGAUGCGUCGGUCGGGAUACCUCGGGCUCAGAUGGAGGGAAGGUGAGGCGGUGUGAUUGAUGGCUUUCAAAGAGCUCUGAAAGAGAGCUGUUUCGGCUCAACAUCCGGACAUAUAAAAUAAGUCGUGAACUCCAGAAAGGAGGAGCCCUGUACAUGUAGGCUUGGGUCUUUCAUUCAGGCCUGGAAGACCUCACUUCGAUAGACGGAUAUUCAUCAGAAUCGAAGCGUGCUUCAUGAAUUGGAAGAGGAUUUUGGAUAAGGCCACCCAAAAAAUGGAACUCUGCCCUCUAUCCAUUUUAAAAAAGAGAUGAAUAGAUGGGGCGAAGCCAGCUGAAGGAAGGGCGCUGAAAGACAUUAGGCACAAUAGCUCGGAUAAUGUGAUUAGAAUUUCCGACCAAAUCUGAGUUAUUUUAAAUAAUAACCAACCGAAUGGAUAGUUUUAAUACUUCUAGAGUGCAGGACUGAACUACGGCACGGAAUUCAAAGGCUGGGCUUAGAAGCAUUCCUUGACUAGAGCGGUCCAUCUCGUCCUAUUGGCAUAUCCAGCACGAGAGAAAGAUAGUUGCCUUGUUUAUGGCCUUUGAAUUUAUUAGGUAUAAUGAUACAUUUGGACAUUCAUAGUUGACAGAAAAUGCACAUGGGAUUUUUGUGCUUGCCUCUUUCUCAAUUGUUGUGCAAAGGAUGCAUUUCACUUCCUAACUUAUACCAUCUUCAUUAUAUGAGUUAUAUGUAUUUUAGUAGUUAACUAAUUUUUUUAGUUGUGUUGCAGGAAAUGAAAUAGUGGGACAACUUAAGCAGGUGUUUACAUCAUCAGGACAGAGUUACGAUGGUUUGGUUAUGGGUUUGCACUAUAAUCGACUUGGUCCAACGGCAUUAUUCCAUGUUUGUUUAGUAUUCUCUUUUAUUUUUUUCUUUUACUUGGUUAGCUCAAUAGAUUUAAAUUAUCUCAAGCUUUCACAUUAAUAUACAUGCUAUCUCAAUCAACCAGACAUGGUAUAGACGCAUGGACCUUGCAAAUUGUAAUAUGGUAUUCCGUUCAUCCACGCUGCUAUACUUUUGGAGGAAAGAAACAUUGAACUAUUAAGGACUUGAAUAUGAAAAAUACAUAUUUCCAUUAUAUCUUUCCGUCCACAGACUUUGAAAAAUACAUAUUUCCAUAAUAUCUUUCUGAUAUUGACACUACGAGAUAACUCGAUCACCAUAUUAUCCCGAGGAUUACGCUACCCUUUUUAUGAUAUCAAUACAUGAAUGCUCAAUCAUUUAUCCCGACGAUAAAUCUUGGAUAAACUUGCAAUUCCACAUAUGAAGUGCUCGAGCAUAUACUCACCCCGAGAGAUUAUGCUCGAGCACUCCCUGCCUUGCUGCUUUAACAUAUUACGAUGGUUGUCCUUGAGCAUAAGUAGUCCUCGAGUAUAUAUGCUCUCCUCAUAACUUACGAUUGUUGAUCCUUCAAUUCCAAUGCAAUUAGGACUCUAACUCAACCAUAUACUUUACUCCCGCAAGGAUUCUAUCCCACACGUGAUUAUGGCAUUGGUCAGUUUCUUCGCCUAAUAGGACUCCAUUGGAUAGAGAUACCCAAAUAUUUGAGUCCCACUAGGAGAAUAUCGCUUACUACUAUAAAUACAGAACCUUAAGCCAUUAUUCAGGUAUGUUUUCAUUAUUCUCCAAUUUAUAGCCUCACGCAUAUAAUUUCCUUUCUGAUUUAAGCAUCGAAGGGGUGACGAGAACAUACCUCAAUACCUUUGUUUCAAGUACUGGAAGACUAAGAUCGUGCUCAGUCCAAAUCAUCAAGCUCGAAAAAUCUGUAGGUACGAUUUUUGGUAGCAUCAUUAGAGCCGUCUGUGGGAAGCACUACCAAAAGCCAUGGUUAACACACAAUCAGGUCUUCCUCCCGCGAGCUCAUUCGCUUCCAUCCCUCAUCUUGCCGAAGAUCAACCAAGUGCCCAUGAAGAAUCGUCAGGAGUGCCCAUACCUCUACCAAUGGUCAUCACAACCGAAGCCUUUGAAGAGCUCCGUCAGCAGGUGGUCACGCUCACGCAACUCUUAAGUCAAAGAAAUUAACAUCCGUCGCCAGCGCAGGCGGAGCAUGGCAAUUUUAUGGCUGAUGCUCGAGCACGACCACCAAGCCCCGCAACUGGUGGAGUAGGAACCUCGCGUAUUCACAUAUGGCCUCAGGGUAGAGAUUGAUCGCCAUGGAUUCCGAUGAAAUUGCCCAGAUCAUCCAAGAAAGAAUUACAGCUAGCCUGCAACGAAAUGCUCGGGGGCCAACCGUUUUCACCCCUAACACUCCAUUCACGCCAGAGAUAUUGUCAUAUCUUUUGCCCGACAGAUUCAAAUAUCCUCGCAUUAAAGAGUAUGAUGGGACGACCGACCCCAUCAACCAUCUCAAUGUAUAUACUGAUGUCAUGAACUUGCAAGUUGCGCCGAAUCAGGUUAUAUACAAAGCCUUUCCACAAAUGCUGACUAAUGCAGCUAGGGAUUGGUUCUCGACAUUGGAGCCAACUCCAUAGCUUCAUUCUCAGAUUUGGUUGAUAAGUUCUCAGCCUUCUUUGCAAGUAGUAAAUGAAUCAAGAAGACGGCGGCCUCUCUCAUGCAACUUCGCCAGGGACCAACUGAAAUCCCACGAGGAUUUAUGACAAGGUUCAAUAAGGAAAGGCUUCAGAUACCUGACCUUCACAUCACAGCUGUCUCCGCCCUUACUUACGCCAUAAGAUGUUAAGCUUUCAAGAUGUCUUUAUCAAAGACCCCGCCGCAGACAGUGACCGAGCUCCUCACCUGAGCUGAAGAAUACAUUAAUAUGGAGGAAAGACUGAAUCCAAAGAGACCUAGUCCUUCCCAUGAAAAAAUCGAGAACAAUAAGCAACAUGAUCCUAUCUUCCGGCAUGAGCUUCCUCGGGAUAAGCGCAGGAAUGAGGCGCCAUCAGCACCUCUCACUCGGUUGAACACCUCUAAGACAAACAUCUUGAUGGAGGUUAAGGAUAUGAAAGAAUUAAAGUGGCCUUCAAGGAUGAAGUCACCCCCUGACACAAGAGAUGGGAGCAAGUAUUGCGAAUUUCACUAGGAUCAUGGGCAUACUACAUAGGAUUGUCAUGCUUUACAGCGAAAAAUUGAAGCCCUUAUCAAAAAAGGAUUUUUAAAGAAUUACAUUGCUCAUGAUAAACGACCAAGGAAUGACCGUGACAAUCAGAAAGAGCCUGGGGCCGAAAGCAGUGCUCAACCUACUGUCGGAACCAUUAAUAUUAUCAUUGGGGGCAUAGCAUCCGGCGGAGAUACAAGUAAUGGACGAAAGCAGUAUGCCCACCAACAUGCUAAUACCCCAAGAGAAUCCUGUGAUGAAGUCAAAGACAUCACUUUUGGUGUAAGAGAUUUGGAAGGAAUAUCAUAUCCUCAUGACGAUGCCUUGGUCAUCUCUACGGUUAUGGCUAACUUCGAAGUAAAGAGGAUUCCGGUUGAUAAUGGGAGUGCAGCAAACAUACUCUCGUAGGAGGCUUUCGCCAAAUGGGGAUCUCUCCCAAACAGUUCAAAGUAGUAAAAACUCUCCUACAGGGAUUUGGUGGUGGAGUCAUUAUCCCUGAAGGCAUCGUCAAGCUCCCGCUUACAUUAGGAACUAGUAGUACACAAGUGACGGAGAUCACACCAUUCCAAGUGGCUAAUACCCCAAUGGCCUACAACAUCAUUCUGGGAAGACCCCUACUGAACAAGAUCCAUGCUAUUGUGUCAACUUUCCACCUUGCCAUGAAGUUUCCCACAGGUCAUGGCAUCGGAGUAGUUCGAGGAGACCAAACAGCGGCUAGACAAUGCUAUGUUACUAGUAUCCGAGGAAUGAGUGCUGACGUCAUGCAACUCGCAGACCUUGAACUCGAGCCAAGAGAUAGAUUAGCCCCCGUUGAGGAGUUGGAAGUGGUCGAGCUCGAGCACGGGAAAGCCAUUACUAUUGGUCGGGAUCUCAAAUCCAACCUCCGGGAGGAGGUCAUCGACUGUCUGUCCCGCAACAUUGAUGUUUUUGCAUGGAAGGUGGAGGAUAUGCCAGGGAUAGACCCACAAGUAGCUGUCCAUAGACUUAAUAUCAAUCCAAGGGCCAAACCUGUUAAGCAAAGGAAGAGGCAGUUUGCACCGGAAAGACGUGUGGUCAUUCAAGAAGAGGUCGGAAAAUUGGUGAGAGCGGGGUUCAUAAGAAAAGUCCAAUACCCCAAUUGGCUCGCUAAUGUUGUUCUUGUGAAAAAGGUCAGUGGCAAAUGGAGGGUCUGCAUUGAUUUCACAGAUCUCAAUAAGACGUGUCCAAAAGACAGCCACCCGUUAUCCAGGAUUGACAAUCUUGUGGAUAACACAUCCGGACCUAAGCUGUACAGCUUCUUAGAUGCAUUCUCAGGGUAUCAUCAAAUCCUCAUGGUCGAAGAAGACCAAGAGAAGACUUCAUUCAUGGCUGAUUUGGCCAUAUAUUGCUAUAGAGUGAUGCCAUUUGGGUAGAAAAAUGCUGGGGUGACAUAUCAGAGGCUCAUCAACAAAGUCUUCGCCGAUUUGAUAGGAAAGAACAUCGAGGCCUAUGUGGAUGACAUGGUUGUAAAGAGUAAGAAGGUGGAGGAACCCAUAUCCGACCUAGAGGAUGUGUUCAUCACCCUAAGAAAAUAUAAGAUGAAGCUCAACCCAAAGAAGUGUGUAUUCGGCGUAGCUUCAGGAAUGUUUCUGGGUUUCAUGAUCACUCAUCGGGGGAUUGAGGCCAACCCCGAUAAGAUUCAGGCUCUGGCAGCAAUGGAAUCACCAAGGACCAAGAAAGAAGUUCAAAAGUUGAUAGGCAGGGUAGUCACCUUAAGCAGGUUCAUGUCCUGAGCAGCAGACAGAUGCUUUCUCUUCUUCAAAGCCCUCAGGGGUAAUCAUUGCUUUGAAUGGAAUGAGGAGUGCGAGAAGGCUUUUCAAGAGCUCAAGCAGACAUUGGUAUCUCCUCCUAUGCUCACCAAACCCGAGCCCGGGGAUACUCUUUAUUUAUACUUAGCCGUAUAUCAGAAUGUAGUCAAUGGUGUCUUGGUGAAAGAGGUUAACAGAGCCCAGCAACCCAUUUAUUAUGUAAGCAAAGUCCUACUUGAUGCAAAAACAAGAUACACUUUGGCAGAACAACUUGCCCUUGCACUGAGAGUGGCAGCACGAAAACUUCGGCAUAUUUUCAAUCACAUCCUAUUGUAGUGCUCACAAAUCAGCCUCUAAAACACAUUCUUCAAAAACCAGACGUCUUAGGAAGAUUACUGAGGUGGGCAAUUGAACUCGGAGAAUUUGACAUAGAGUUCAAGCCCCGCCCAUCUAUCAAAGCUCAGGCCUUAGCUGACUUCAUUACGAAACACACCCCAAGGCCUCGGGGGCCAGAUGGCUGCUUGAGCUCGACCAUAGGUGUGUGGCAAAUUUUUGUAGAUGGAGCAUCAAACUCCUCGGGCUCGGGUGCAGGGGUUAUAAUCAUAAGCCCAGACAUGCUCAUAAACAUUCAGUGCACACUGAGGUUCGAGUUUGAGGCGACCAAUAAUGAAGCAGAGUAUGAGGCCGUCAUCAUAGCCAUUGAACUUGCCAUCAAUCUCGAGCUUGAAAAUAUCAAAAUUUACAAUGAUUUUGAGUUGGUGGUUGGACAAAUCGAAGAGACGUUCGAUAGAAAGGACGAAAAGAUGAGCUUAUACUGCUUGAAAGUGCAUGAUCUCCAGAGAAAGUUCAAGAUUUGUGAAAUAGUGAAAAUUACUCGGGCUGAGAAUUGUAAGGCCGAUGCCUUGUCAAGAUUGGUGUUCAUGGGAAUAGAUGGGCUUGACAGGACAGUCCACGUCAAGAUUGUAACCGAGCCAAGCAUCAAUCAGACCGUAGGCAUCAUGGAUAUUGAUAAUGAGCCAUCGUGGAUGGACCCAAUAGUGGACUUCAUAAAACAUGGCAGUCUUCCAGAAGAUCCUCGAGCAGCGAGAAGCAUCCGGUCCAAGGCUCCGAAGUAUUGCAUGAUUGACGGAGUUUUAUUUCGUAGGAGCCUCACACUUCCAUACCUCAGAUGCCUUAGGCCUUCCGAAUCAUCCCAGGCCCUAGAAGAAGUUCAUGAAGGAAUAUGUGAGAAUCAUCAAGGAGCUCGGGCAUUAGCCUUCAACCUCAUAAGGUAUGGGUAUUAUUGGCCAACCAUGAAGAAAGAUGCUAAGGAAUAUGUCAAGAAGUGUGACAAGUGCCAAAGAUUUAGCAAUGUCAUCCACCCUUGUAAUGCCCCGACCCCUAGUGGACCAGAACGCUACUAACUUUACUUAGCUUAACCGGCGGUUUAGUAACAAGUGUAUACGUUUUAGCGGAAGCUUACAUCUUCGGAUAAUAAUUUAAAUAAAAAUACUUCAAAUACUUUAAAGAAAAACACUGAAUCAUUUUUCAAAACAACAAAAUGUAAUUUAUUUGAAGAAAAUAUAACUUGUUCUCGCAUUCUGCGUUAUUCAAAACUUUAAAAAAAUAACAUUGGAAAACAUUUCAUAAAAAUAAAUACAUAUCACUUAUUCAACAGAUUUCCAUGGGCUCGUUGCAUCACUCUCCAUCUUCUCCUCCAUCCAUGCCCAAGGUAGAAUUCCUUCAAUCUGUAGAGAUGGGAUUAAACCCGUGAGUUGAGAAACUCAAUAGGUGUCAUAGGUGCAUUCGUGAUCAAGCUAUACAUUUCAAAACAUUAACUUUAUAACUUUUCAUACAUGCCGUACCCGGAGGCACCAUUUGACAUGAAGGGGUAUGCCAUACUCGAGGGCACCAUUUGACAUACGAACAUUUCUUCAACAUAGAGGGGUAUGCCAUACCGAAGUACCAUUUGACAUACAACCAUUAACAUAGAGGGAUAUGCUGUACCGGAGUACCAUUUGACAUACAAACAUUAACAUGAAUCGAAACUUAUAACUUAACAUGAUUAAACACAUUACACCUCUACCUACCUUGAUUGAUGCUUUUGAAACUUUGAAAACUUAGAUUGAAAACCUCGAUGAAACUUGGACGUUGAAAGAAAUGCACUCCUUGGAUGUUUGAAAACCGUUGAAAAUUGAUGCUUGAAAACACUUCUUAAACUUCUAGGAAAAAUAGUUUUCCUCCCUCUCUUUUUCUCUCUUGGAAACUCUUUCUUUAGUAUGUAAAAGCUCUUGCUUUUGGUGUAAGAAAAAAAUGAGUGAAAUGAGGUCUCUAUUUAUAGGUAAAUAUCCCAUAACUUAAAGCAAAUGAAGGGUCAAAUUUCAUUUAAGAGAGAAAACAUGGGUGCCAUUUAAGUUUGAGGUUAAAUGCUUCAAUUUAGUGGGGUUAUUAUUGCCAAAAACGUGGGUGGCCCUUUGAGAAAAUAAUUGAUGAAAAUAAAUAUUUAAAUUAUAGAGAAAAAUGAGAAUUUUCAUUUCAGGCAAUUUCGGUCGACCGGUUGUAGUCCGGUUGACAUUACACAGCUUUUAGUGUUUCUAUUAUAACUUCUUCUCUCGAUAUCCGAUUGAGGUAAUUCAAAGUGAGUUGGAAAGCUAACUCAAAGAGCUACAACUUUUAUUUAGAUAUUAUUUUCCAAAUCGAAUGUUUCCUAUGUCGAAAAUGGGUCUCAAAUGAGACUAAAAAUCUGAAGUAUACUUUAGUCAUCCAAUAUUCAUGUCUUAGUGCCACUAAGGUGUCUAGAAUUAUUUGGGGUUCUACAACCCUCCCACAGAGGACCUCACUAGCAUUAGUUGCACAGCCCCAUUUGAGCAGUGGGGAAAUGACAUCCUUGGUCCCUUUCCAAUAACUAGGGGUCAAUUGAAGUUUGUGGCUAUGGCUGUAGAGUAUUUCACUAAGUGGGUGGAGGCCGAGCCUUUAGCAACAGUUUCAGAGCCUACGUUAAGAAGUUUCAUUUGGAGAUCCAUCAUAUGCAGGUUCGAGAUACCGAAAGUCCCCAUAAUUGAUAAUGGCAGGCAGUUUGACAAUGCACAAUUUAAAAACUUCUGUUCCAACCUAGGGGUUGAUCACCGUUUGACAUUGAUUUCCCAUCCUCAAAGUAAUGGUCUCAUCGAAGUGACCAAUUGGAUUAUAUUGCAAGACCUCUGUACAAGGAUUGGGGAUGCAAGAGGUUCUUGGUCUGACGAGUUACCUUCCAUACUUUGGACAUAUAGAACGUCCCACAGAACUGCAAAGGGGGAAACCCCCUUCAUGUUGGCUUUUGGUAUUGAGGCCACCAUCCCUAUUGAAGUCAGGUUGCCCAGCCAAAGAAGGCUUGAGCCCAAAGAUGCAGGGCGCACUACUGAACACCUUGACCUCUUGGAAGAAUUUCGUGAUCAGGCAGCUUUAAGAAUGGCCUCCUACCAAAAUAAAACAGCAAAGUACUUCAAUAAAAAAGUGAGGACACAAAGAUUCAGAGCCGGAGACCUUGUGUUAAGAAAGGCCGAAGUAGCGGAUCAUGAUCUGGGCAAGCUAGGACCAGUUUGGGAAGGGCCCUUUGAAGUCAUACGAUAGCUCCAAGGAAGGGCAUACAGUUUAAAGGAUACAUCAGGAAGACCACUUCCAAGACCAUGGAACGCUGAGAAUUUAAAGAUAUAUUACAAGUAACUUGGUCUUCCAGUUAUCAGUAGUCAGGCAUGCGCGUCAAGGUUCACGUUUUCAAUUUCAGGCCUGCGUGCCAAGGUUUAUUUUUCGAUAGUCAAGCCUGCAUGCCAAGGUUCACAUUUUUAGUUGUCAGGCCUGCGUGCCAAGUCUAUUUUCAAAAGUAUAAUAAGAAUUAAGCUAUUCGUCAAAAUAUGAUCUAGCUGCUAAAAGCCUUGCCCCGCGCAAGCAACUCAAGCCUUGCCCCGCGCAAGUAAUCAAAAAGCCUUGCCCUGAGCAAGCAAUUAAAAAGCCUUGCCCCGUGCAAGAAACUCAAGCCUUGCCCCGCGCAAGCAAUCAAAAAGCCUUGCCUCUUGCAAGCAAAAUCAAAAAGCCUUGCCUUAAGCAAGCAAUCAAGGCUAAAACUUCAUUUAGGUGAUCACACAGUGCCCGAUCAACGAUGUGAGAGAUCUUAUAAAAAGGCCAUUACUGUCCUCGGGAAUCAUGCUAUAGGUCGAUACAAUUACAUUGGCAUUGAGUCCUCGAGAUAAACAUGCAUAAUAUGCUCGAGCUCAAUGGAUAAUGUCAAAAAAUGAUUUUACAAAUUGAGUCCUCGAGAUAACUUGUACACAUGCUCGAGCUCAAUACAUAAUUUCAAAAAUAAUUUUGUAAAAUUCAGUCCUCGAGAGAGUAUUAUUUGUCGAGCAUGACAAAAAUAAAUCUUUGUUGUUGUGAAUAAGUACAACAAGGCUAAAACUUCAUUUAGGCGUCGAGUUAUUUAAUUUGUCUAGGCGUCGAGUUAUUAAAUCAUCUUAGGUGUCGAGAUAUUAAUACAUCUUAAGCGUCGAGAUAUUAAUACAUCUUAGGCGUCGAGCUGUUUAAUAAAUCUUAGGCAUCGAGUUAUUUAAUUUCUCUAGGUGUCGAGUUAUGGAUUCUCUUAAAGUCGGGCUAGGUCACAUCACUUAGUAUAGUUCUCAAAUGAACUUAAAGCUCAAGCAAACAUAAUCGAGUAACAUAGCAAGAAACGCAAGUUAAGCUCAAGAAGAACACAUUGAUUUCAAAAACUGAUUAAUCAAGUACAAGAGCCAAGAGUAUACAAAGACAAAAAGAAAAACAGAAACUAAUCUAGGUCCUCGGCUCUUUCUCCUAAGGCCGUGCUUACUUGCUCUUUUGCCAUGUCCUCGCCGUCAAUAUCGACCUCUUGGUCCUCCACGGUUUCCUCGGACUCUGAAAGCUCGAGGUCUUCAGCAACCUCAAGGAUGCUCUUUAAAUCCUCGGGCUUUGUGUCAGGCUUCAACCACAAAAAUGCCCGAGCUUCUUUCAAAGAGUGGAAGUACGAGCCCAUGGUGUACUCUCCCUUCAGCCCGCUGAACUCCUCGGACAUUUUGAAAUCUUCGAUCGCAAUGCCUCGAGCUUCAGUCAGGUGAGUUUCAAAAUCCCUCUUCAAACGCUCGAUCUCGAGCUUUAAAUCCUCAGCCUCGCCCUUGGCCACUCCAGCCUCUUCCCAAGCUCUCUGAAGGUCGUUCUUCACCUCAUUACACUCCUUCUGGAGAAGGAAGCGCUCAGCCUCCAUGUCAGAUAUCCUCUUCUCAUGUGCUCGAGAAGUAUCCUCAAGCUCAACAGUUCUCUGUGCCUCGUCUUUCUCCUUCAGAGAGAGGCCUCAAGCAAUACUCAGAGUCUGCAAUAUACAAAACCCAAGCUUAAAUGAUCACAUCAUAUAAACCCAUAAAUUACACCAAGUAAGUUGAGCGAUCUUACUUUCAGCAUAAAGGAUUCAAGAGCUUUCAUACCUUCAUCAAAGCCGAGGUCCUUUCAAUAUUUGUCCACGAUGCUCGACACCAGAGGACACCAAUCAGGAUCUCGAUUUUGGAAUGAAGGCACAGGAGGGACCCCAUCCUCGAGGUCAACAACCUCGGGGGUACUCCUUGAUCGAGGACGUGACCGAGGAUGGGCAAUUGGAGUUUCAUGAUCCUGAAUGAUCGGGGAUUGUCCCCGGGCAGAAGGUUUGCUUGGUCCACUCCUAAUAUUCUCGGGACCUAAAUCAUGAGCUCUCUUCUUUCCUCUUUUUUGACCUGGAGCUCGAGCCUGAGGGGCCUUGGACUUUUUAUUCAUGGCCUGUCUAAGGGCUGAAGGAUCAAAAGUCAUCUCUGCAAAAACAAGUCAUUAACAUGAGCACAAUUAUACAUUAUAGAUCGAUGAGGAAGAAGGCAAAAGGACGAUCCCUACCCUCAAUGCCUUUCACAUCCGUAAGAUCGAGAACGUCAUCCCCGACGAUGUCAUCUAUAUCAUAGACAAGAGGCUCAAGGUUCUCUAACAUCUCCCUAUGCCUUUCUAAAGACUCGAAAUAGGUCUGGCCUUUACGAAACCUGGUAGUGUCGGGCAAAACCCACCUAGGACUAAAAGGAAAGUCGCUAUCCUAAGGUAUGACAUAAAACUACUUUUCUUUCCACCCUUUUAAAGAACUGGGCAUCCUCAGUACUCUAAAACCUCCUCGAGAUGAAAGGUAGGCAAAACAAGUAUAUUGAGGUAGCUGUUUCAGGUCGAAGACCAUUCUACAAAGAUCAAUGUGUGGGUUAAUUCCUAGCUAUCUACAGGCUAUAAAAAAGUAGGUGAGCAUCCUCCAUCCAUUUGGCACGAGCUAUCCAGGGCUCAUGUUGUGCUCGACCAAUAAAGUCACAAAGAAGGGGUGCAGGGGCCAUCUAAAUCCGCCCUUCAGUGAGUCCCUAAAAAUUACAAACUCUCCAUCCCGAGCAAAGGCCAUUCUAUCCUCUCCCCCUGGCGUCCUAAUAUCACACUUCGGCAUGAGCCCGUGCUCCCUAGCCGUCAAUAUCGCUAGAUGCUCUUUAAAUUUACAAGAGGCCUCGAGGUACCUAAAUGGGGUCGGGAUACUUUGUGCCCGAGGUUGGGCAUUAAUAGGCACGGUCAUGGGUAUGAUCAAGCAUCCUACACCCUCGAGAGUAUUCCUCGAGGAGGAGGACGAAGACUCACUACUACUACUACUAGACAUCCUGACCUAGGUAAAAAAGUGCCUAAAGAAUAACUUAAGAUCUCGAGGUCUAACCUUAAAGUCGACGCCUAAAAACCCCACCAAAGUUCUGAUCUCGACGAUUAGCAAGAGAAGGUUUACUGAGAGUAAAAAGUGAAAAAUGAAAUGUGGAGAGGGUAUUUAUAGGCAAUAGGAACAGGUAGUCCAAAAAUCACUACCCCGACUGUCAGAUCUGGCCACGUGUCCUACAUCCAACACAUACCAUUUUUACCGCCUUUUCUUAUUUAGGGCUUACCUCAGUACACAUCAGCCCUUCUGAACACCUGUCUUCAAAAACUUCCUCGAGCUCACGUACCUAAGCUUUUUGCCUUCAAGCCUCUUUGCAUCAUAUCCUCGAGUGAAGGCUUCGAGCAUAUGUGCACGGGGGCCAAUGAUACUGACAUUUCGAGAUAACCCGAUCACCAUAUUAUCCCGAGGAUUACGCUACCCUUUUUAUGAUAUCAAUACAUUAAUGCUCGGUCAUUUAUCCCGACGACAAAUCUUGGAUAAACUUGCAAUUCCACAUAUGAAGUGCUUGAGCAUAUACUCACCUCGGGAGAUUAUGCUCGAGCACUCCCUGUCUUGCUGCUUUAACAUAUUACGAUGGUUGUCCUGGAGCAUAAGUAGUCCUCGAGUAUAUAUGUUCUCCUCAUAACUUUCGAUUGUUGACCCUUUAAUUCCUAUGCAAUUAGGACUGUAACUCAACCAUAUACUUGACUCCCGCAAGGAUUUUAUCCCACCCAAGAUUAUGGCAUUGGUCCAGUUCCUUCGCCUAAUAAGAAUCUGUUGGAUAGAGAUACCCAAAUAUUUGAAUCCCACUAGGAGAAUAUCGCUUACUACUAUAAAUACAAAACCCUGAGCCAUUAUUUAGGUACGUUUUUAUUAUUCUCCAGUUUAUAGCCUCACGCAUAUAAUUUCCUUUCUGACUUAAGCAUCGGAGGGGCGACGAGAACAUACCUCGUUGCCUUUGUUUCAGGUAUCAGAAGACUACGAUCAUGCUCAGUCCAAAUCAACAAGCUUGGGAAAUCUGCAGGUAUGAUUUUUGGUAGCAUCACUUUCCAUCCACAGACUUACUUUUCCAUAUUUCUGGGUCAUAACCUUAUCCUUCUUAUUUAUUCGAAUGGUUGUAUGAGAAAAAUGAGAAUUGAAUUAAAUAUAAUAUUUCGAUUAUUUAGUUCUUCAUUUUCUCUUUCUUUUAUUUAUUCAUUUAUUUUUUUGGGUGGGGGUGGGGGUGGGGGUAGCGGGCAAAAUAUUCACCAACGUCCAUGAACAAGACUCUCUUUAUAGGUGAUGUUGUCUCUAGACAUGCUAAUCUAAAUUAGGGCCUUUGGGUAUCCAAUUUUUAGAAGUAAUGAAUUUCCUCAUUUUUAUGCUCAAUAUGUAACGUACAAGGUAGAAUAUUUACGUAGUGCAAAAGUAUAUGUUUGCCUUUAAAUAUUUAGUUUAUCAAUGAAAUUUGUUGAGGCUCGAAUCAAUGAUAUGUGAUGUGCUCCCAAAAUUUGGCUAAAGUCUCAUUACUGGAAAUGUAACUCUUUUUAAUUGAGGCUUUUUUGCAGAAUGACGGCACAUAUCCUUAUCUUGGCCCUUCAUUUGGUUUAUUUGAUGCCUUAGAUAUAAAAGGCACACAGUGCAUUUCACUUGACAAUUCUACCUGUCCAGUUCUUCCAAUGGUAUGAGUUUGAGAGAUAAAUGUCUUUUCUGUUGAAGGCUAAGGUUUUGGUCUAUGGUUUUUUUCUCUCUUGAAAAACUCAUUCAAGACUGAGAUCUACUUUUAGCCUCUGAUAUCAGUAAUAUGCUAAGUGAUUACUGAAAGAAUGAGAGGGUUCUUUCAGCUAUAGUUUAAGUAGGCAUGUUGAAGUUUCUUGGGUAAUUCUUUGUUGUUCAGCAGUUUAUUAUUGAAGAUGUAAGUAUCUUGUACUUUUCUGUUUUGUUGAAAAAAUUGAUAUGUAAUCUUUGUUGCCAUUUUAGACUAUAUAGGCGCUAGAUAUAGUCGUCGAACCUGUGGGACUUAGAUUGAAAGAAAUUGCUUGUGCUCAAUCUUUUAAUUUUCUACGAGUUUACUUUCAGUUGUUUGUAACAACAUGAAAUCUUGUUUUAUUAUCUUGUUAUCUAGGACUUUUCAGCAGUAUUAGAGCUUAGACUGAGAACAAGAUACCUAGAUCUUUGUAGAAAGAGAUAAAUUUGUUGCAAAUCUAAAGUAUUUUUGAACUUCUGUUAAGCAAAACCGAAAGACAUCCUGUUUUUAUAAACUCACUAGGUGAGAUCCUUUAAUUUUUGUAAAAUAUUUUUCAAAAUUUGAGUUUCUUGAUUUUUCCUUGAUUGACCAUAUGCUGAAACCAGUGAAGAUUAAUCUUUGUCCAAAGGCUCAAAUGAGGCUUCUUGCAGAAGAAAUCUCUGAAACAUAGACUUGUGAUCUCUGAUAUUGUGUUCUUAAUUUGUUUGUUCUGCACGUUCCUUGACUGUGAUUGAAACUUGAAAAAAUCUUGUACUACUAAGUGUACUGCUGUGAUUUGCGAUUGAUACUUUUUUGUAAGUCUCUAAUUGAGCCGUAUUAAUUUUUUACUCCAAUUUGCGCAUCACUGUUAAUAACAAAAAUGGCAUCUACUAAGUUUGAAGUUGCACAAUUUAAUGGGAAAGGUGACUUUAAUAUGUGGAGUCAAAAGAUGAAAGCCAUUUUAAUGCAAAUGAUUAGAGCUUAGACAAUGGUUUACCUGUAGACUUACUUCAUACAAAGAAAGUUGAACUUGAAAAGGUUGUCUGGAAUACUAUUUUCUUAUACUUUUCUGACAAUGUGAUAAGGACUAUUGGUGAAUCCCAGACUGCUUCUAAACUUUGGAUCAAACUUCAUGCUAAAUAUGUGACUAAGACUAUUCCAAAUAAGUGUUAUGUGUUAAAGCAAUUCUUAUCUUUCAAAAUAGAUCUUUCAGUUGACUUGGAUGAUAAUUUGAAUAGGUUUACUAAACUGGCCCAAGACUUACCCAACUGCAAUGAAAAACUUUCAAAAGACCAACUGAUUGUAGUCUAGUUAAAUUCCAUUAGUGAUAGAUAUAGAGACAUUAGGAUUUCACAAAAUAUGGUAUGGGGAAAAUUACAACCGAUGAAAUCAUUAAUGCUCUAAAAAAUAAUUCUCCUGAAUUAAAUCUGAAAUAAAAUAAAGUGUUAGCAAGAGGAAAAGGAUUUAGUGAACAUAAUUUUCACUCAAAGAGCUUAAAACGAAAACAAGAAUAAGUGGAGUGAUAAAAAUAAAUCCAAAAAUAAGGCACAAGGCAAGAAAUGCUAUUAUUGUGGAAAAUUGGGUUAUUUUAUUAAUGACUGUUAUAAGAAGAAAAAUGAAUCAAAAGAAAAGAAAUUUGAUGAUAAGAAUAAUGCUUUAGCCUGUAAUAAAGAAAAUAUUGAAGAUGGAAUGGUCCUUUUUAAUAUUGAAAUAAAACUCAGUGAUAAAUGGAUACUUCAUUCAGGUUGUUCUUAUCAAAUGUGCUCAAAUAAAAACUACUUUCUUGAAUUUGAAAAUCUAAAAAAAAAAAAAAAGAGUGAGAGAGAGAGCCACAAGACGGCAAGUAAUAAUGGGAAAUAACAUGACAUGUAAAGUAAAUGGAAAAGAAACUUUAAAGCUAUUACUUAAAUGGUAAUGUUCUAUUUUUUUUAAAUGAAUUAGAUAUGUUUCUGAUUUAUGAAGGAUGUAUCUCUAAGCAUGUUAGAUGACAUAGAGUUUGACGUAAAAUUAGGUCAAGGACACGUUAAGAUUCUUAGGGGUACUAAUUUGAUCAUUAGCACUGAUAAGUGUGUUUUUACACACUUAUUUAGUUCAUAAAUAUGACUUAUUUAUGAUCAAAGAAUUUGAAUUAUGGCUUAAUUCUAUGUGAUUAUAUUUUGUAGGAUAAUAUUGAUGAAUGUACUGGAAUUCAAGAGAAAAGAAAAGAAAAAGAACCAAAAAGGAAGAAAAUUCAAAGUAUGAGGACUAAGUUACAACAUUUUAAUAGUUGAUUCAGAUCACAAAAUGAAGACUAAAGAUGUUGCAGGUUUAAUUGGAUUAAAUUAAAAGUCAAAGGGUUGAAAAUGCAAGAGAAAGGAUUUGAAAGAACCAAAAAUCGACUUUGGGAGCUAAAAUACAACAUACGGAAGAAAUUUUGCCUGGGUGAUAGCCCAGUUAUAAAUAUCGGACGAUCCCCUAACAUAAUUUUUUAAUUAUCGAGAAGAAAUUCUUGGCCUGGGCGACAGCCCAAGCCAAUCGCGGCGAGAAAAUCUGGUUUCCUUUUCUGAAUGAAAUUCUUAUGGAAACAAAUCUUGGGGGAGUCUUUUAAAGCCCUAGGGACAUUCAAAAACAUAGACCAUGCAUUCAACAUUGUUUUGGGAGGAUUUGAAGAGAAAAAAGAAGGAAGAACAAGAAGAUUCAAUCCAAGAUUCAAGUUCUCACUUCAAGAAUUCAUUAGGAUGAUGUCUUUUCUUGAUUUGUAUUGUUGUGUUCUUCUUCCCAUCAUGUUAGGCUAGAAAAAUGUAUACUAGGAGAUCGAUGAACCUUGUAAUGUGAUAUUUAAUUCUUUGUUCCGUAUUUUGACAUUAAAACACGUAUUGAUUGUUUGAAUGAUUUAUAUGCAUUUAAUUGCCUCCAUGAUUAUGGGUCUGUAAUUGUGUGAGUUUUUGUGGUUUGUUUCAUCUAUUCGAAAGAAUAGGAAUAAAUUCGACAAGGUACAAAUCAUCGUAGGGUCCGAUAGAGGAUAGAAAUAUACCCAUAUGCUUUGCGUGAAUCUCUAAGUACUCACAAAACUACAUGUAUUCUCGUAUAUUUGCAUCCGUCAUAGAGAUAUAGGCUGGUUGUGUAUGAGGAUAGGUUCAAUUCAUCUCGAGAGAGAGUGUUGGAUAGAUUUAGGAGUAUUGAUUCUUAAACAUGUCACCGUGUUGUCAAAGUUUGGAAUUGAAGUUAAAUUGAACAUUACUUGAGAAUUCGUGAUCCUAGUAUAUCUCACAUUCAUUUAAUACAUUUAACCUGAGUCCCAAUUAUCAAACUGCAUUUUAGUUAAAUUAAACGUUGUUUUGCAUAGCAUACCAUCCAAUUCAUAAUAUUUGUACUCGAGCUUAGAUUUAGAAUUUCUUAGGAUAAAAACUCAUAAUUGAUCAUUAUUACUUGUUAACGAAUCGUACACUUGCAGUGAUUUAAAUCGAAAGGAAAUAUUUCGUGAACAAAUUUUUUGCGCCGUUGCCGGGGAUUGAGUAUUGUUUAAUUUUAUUUUUCUAGGCACUAAUUCGAACUUGAAAUUUCUAUUUUUAUUAAUUUUUGUUUAGGUUAUUUUAUUUUUAUUUUUAUUAUAGUUCUUCAAAUUGUUUGAAUCUGAGUGAUACUAGCGAUUUUCUCACAGAGAUGCAUGCUAAGAUCGAUUGGCGGAGAAUUUUAUUCCAGUUGAUCCUGAAAUUGAGCGCACUUUUCAUCGACUGCAAAGAGAGACUCGAGAAGCACAGUUGCAAAUGGCUAACGAACCUAACAACCAUGUUAUCCCAACUAAUGAAGGAGAAGGCGGUAAAUGAAGGAAAUGAAAUUUUGGAAGAUUUCUAGACUCCUCAAGUAAUUCAAAGCUAGUCCAACAUAGUGUAUCCACCGUUUAGGCAGCCUAAUUUUCAACUGUCGACUACUAUGAUACAGCUGUUUUAGAAUGGACACCAAUUUUAUGGCAGAGUCGAAGAAAAUCCACGUACACACAUAUCUUGAAUCUUGGAUAUGUGUCAACACUUUAGGUAUAAUGGAAUUUUGGAUGAUGCUAUUAGGCUAUGGUUGUUUCCAUGUCCACUGCGGGAUAAGGCAUCUGAAUGGUUGGAUUCACUUCCUAUUGCAAGCAUCAUUACUUGGAACAAGUUGGCUCAUAAAUUCUGACGAAAUUGAGACAUGAGAUAUCGAUAUUCAGUCAAGGGAAAUCUGAAUUAUUUGACAAAGCCUGGAAUAGAUUCAAAAAUAUGCUCCGGAAGUGCCCUUAAUAUGGGUUCGAUAAAAAGACCCAAAUCUGAUUCUUCUAUAUAUGGUUAUUGUCGUACUUCAAAAGCAUGGUGGACUCAUCAUCAGAUGGCUCAAUAUCUACAUGAACAAUGGAUGGAGCAUUGGAAUUGUUUGAGAAAAUGGCUACCACUUCAGCUAUGUGGUCCUAUGAGCUGGUGAUUCAGAAGAAGCCUCCAAGUGUCUAUGAGGUAGAUGCAUAUUCAACCUUAUUAGUAAAGAUUGACUCACUAGUUCAUAAGGUGAAAAGUACCACAGUCAGGAAAUGUAGCAUAUGCAAAGAAACCAAAUUGUGAAGAAUGUGGAGCGAAUUAUAGUACGGUGGAAUGCCCAAUUCUGUCAUAGGGAAUGGAACAAGUAGAGUACGCGCAAUGGGGUUAACAUCAACAAAACUAUCAAAAUUCAAAUAGUUACAAUCAUAGUUGGAAAGAACAUACAAAUCUCUAGUGGGGUAGUACCUAAAAUCAGAAUAGAUCCCAGAGGCAAUUUCAACAAGAGAAGACACUUCAAUUAGAAGAGAUGUUUGCAAAGUUCAUGGAAAAUACUGAGAAAUACAUAGAAGCAAAUAACCAGUUCAUAAGAAAAAUUGAAACUACUUUGCGAAAUCAGAGUGCCGCAAUUAAAAACUUGGAGACACAAAUAGGACAGAUGGCACUCGCUAUGAUGAAAAUGGCACCAGAUAUGUUACCAAGUAAUAUUGAGUUGAAUCCUAGGGAGCAUGUUCAAGUGAUAACAACUCGAAGUGGGAUGUAACUACCUAAAAUACACAUUGAAAAGCCAAGUAUAAACAAUAAGAUAACACUCUCUACAGAAGAAGAAAUUGUACAGCACGACGAACGGACACAUGAAUCCACACCAAAGGAGAAUUCAAAGACUUCAUGGGGUAAGGCCACCAUUCCAGUUAACCCCUAUGAGCCACCCAUUCCAUUUUCCUAGAGGUUGAGGAAGCACAGGAUGGAGAACAAUAUAAGAAAUUUCUCGAAAUCUUCAAAAAACUCUACAUCAACAUCCCGUUCGCCGAUGUACUAUUCCAGAUGCCCAGCUAUGUAAAGUUUUUGAAGGACAUAUUAUCAAAUAAACGCAAGCUGGAGGAUAUGAGACAGUGAUGCUAACCAAAGAAUGCAGCACCAGGAUCCAAAAAAAGCUCCUACCAAAACUAAAAGAUCCAGGGAGCUUCACUGUCCCUUGCACAAUUAGUGAUUUUUAUUUUAAUAAAGCAUUGUGUGAUCUUUGUGUGAGUAUUAACUUGAUGUCACUCUCUAUUUUUAGGAAACUAGGAUUGGGAGAGCCUAAAGCAACUAUAGUAACUCUAUAGCUGGCUAGUCGAUCACUUACACAUCCACGAAGGAUUAUCGAAGAAGUAUUGAUCAAAGUGGAUAAACUUAUAUUCCCAGUGGACAUCUUAAUUCUGGACAUAGAAGACGACAAGGACAUGCCUAUCAUAUUAGGGCGGCCAUUCUUGGCAACUGUAAGAGCUCUCAUAGAUGUACAAUAAGGACAAUUGACUCUGGGACUGGGGGAGGAGUGGGCCUCUUUUAAUGUUUUCAAAGCAAUGUGAAAUAUCCCACCGAGCCAGACACCUAUUUUCAGAUUGACUUGAUUGACAUAGGAAUUCCCUACAAUUACGAGUUGAAGAAACCGUUAGACAUUCAGGAGGUCGAUAUGAUGCACCCUCAAUCCACUCUCACUGACUCAAAGGAGAUCGAGGUAUACACUGUGGAGUCUCAAACAGAUAAUGAGGGAGAGUCACACCACUUGGAAAAAGACAGGUUUGAAGUGUGGAAGAUAACUGCAAUGCGGAACAAGACCAUAUUGAACAAACUACGCAGGACUUCCCAAGCCAUAUUUAAAGUGCCAUAACAUGCCUAUGCCAUAAGUCGAGCUAUCAACUAUAAAAUAGUGCUGGUUGAUAGGCAACCCAACGUUUGUAUCCUUUCAUUUACUUCGUUUGGCAAUAGUUUAGGAACCUUUCAUUUUUUUAGCAUUAUCAAUAGUUUUAGGUCAUCGGUCAUGCAUCCCUAUCACAUGGAAUCUAGGCAUGGUCCACACGAGUCCCAAUGCACUAAGCACGAGUUAUGAGCUUGAAGUCCUAUUUUAGUCAAUCUUGUGUCAAAUUGAACAAAGUGAAUGUUUUGAGUGAAGUUUCAUUGGUGAUUCAUAUUUUUGUGAUAUAAACCCUAUGUUGAGACAUAAAUUAUGCAUUCUGCACACCAACAAUGUACACAUGCACCUUGAAACAAGUUUGGGGGAUUUGUGCACUACCUAGGUUAUUUCUUACCUCAGUUGCAUCUGUUUACACCAUGUAAACUAAUACGCAUACUUUGCACUUUUACAGGAUGCUGUCAAAAAAAAUGUCACAGGGAAAGGAGAAACACUACGGGUCCUAAUUUUCAUUCAACACCUCCAUAUAGAUCAGGAGAGUACUCGUAUCCCAUCUUGCACUUUUAGUUUAUUAUUGUCCUUCAAUUAUGUCUGUUUAUACUUUUAUUUCAUCUUCACAUUGAGGAUAAUGUAUUAUCUAAGUUUGGGGGUGGUGACAUAAUCUUGGACACGAACAUCUUUUCAUCAUUUUGCCUAUAUUCAUCAAUAUCUAUGUUUUAUGACUGCAUAUCAUGUGCUUGAUGAGUGUUAAAAAAUUCUUUGCAUUUUAUUCAGUUUGCUGUUUUUCCAUUCUUGCAUGAUUAUAUGGGCUUGAUAGUUUUGCCAGCUAUGAUGUGAUAUUGGAUUGGUAUAAAUUACAAACUGUGGAUAUGGUGCUGAAUAGAUUAACCAAUACUUAUUGAUGUAAUGCUUGACAUUCUUUAUGCACCCCACUUAUGCUCAACAUGUUAGGUUAGUGAUUGGGGUUUUGAACAUAAAGUAGGAAAAGAAUGAUAACCCUCUACUAAAUCAAAUAGUAAACUACCUUAAGAUGGUUUGGAGAUGGUUGAACAAUCAUAGGAAAGCAUUGAGAUAAGUGGGGGCUCCGUACAUGAAUUCUAUUGUGUGGAUUGCUUAGACCAGUGAGAUGAAAAUCUUAAAUUGAGGGUUAGUUUUGGAGGCUAAAUGUCUAGAAAAAUAAUAAAGGGCAUAAAUCUAACUUGUGUAAACAGGACACCUUUUUCAUGUCUUUAUAAUUCGAGCAAGUAAGCUUGUAAGGAUAUUUUAAAAUUUGGUGCCGUAAAGCUAACAAGCUUGGGAGUCAUCAACCCAAAGCUCAUUACAUGGAUCAUACAAAAAGCAAAAGGGGAAGAGAUGAAUAAAAAGUUAUCCGAUCAAGCCUUUAUAACUCGAGUAAAUAAGCCUGCAAGGGUUUAAAACCUGAUGCCCUAAAGCCAACAGUUUGGGAGUCAUCGGCCUAAAGCUCGCUACAGGGGUUAUACAAAAAGAAAAUGAGAAGAUAACAUAAAAAAAAUAUUCAGAAAAUAAGUGAGAAAAGACACGAUAACAUCAAGAGACCCUUGGAUAUUUGGUUGAAGAAACUAUACCUUUGAGGCGAGCUUAGUAACUUAGUUUAAUCUUAAGUGUUGAAGCAAUCAAAUCUAGAAAGCCUUCAUUUGUUAAUAUGUGAGCUUGUGAUAGUGAGAUUUAUCCACACUAAGAAAGGGUAAGGACUGUAGAUACCCAAAAUCCUAACUUUAAAACACAACCCCGGGAUAACUGAGUGAAAAGAAUAAGUUUGGGGAUUGUGUACCUCUCGAGCGAAGAAAGGACAUAUUUGACCACUAUGGGUUGGGACUAACCCCAUCAUAAACUAAAUAUGUUAGCAUGAUUUCACACAUGCACGUCGGGUAUGCAAUUAACAGGUAAAGGUUGAUUUCAUUCUUACACUAAUCAAAAAAAAAAUUUAAGUUAAAUACUUAGUCUAGUCCCGAGAUAGGGCAAGUUAUUAAGUCAUGUUUGUUUAGUAUUGAGCCACUAUUUUUUUGAGGAUAAACAAUAGUUUAAGUUUGAGGGGUUUGAUAAGUGUGUUACUACACACUUAUUUAGUUCAGAAAUAUGACUUAAUUAUAAUCAAAGAGUUUGAAAUAUGGCUUAAUUCUAUGUAAUUAUGUUUUGUAUGACUAUAUUGAUGAAUGCGGUAGAAUUUAAUAAAAAAGANUUUACUUCUUAAUAAUAAAACCUGGGAAGUGGUUGAAAGACCUAGAGGAGAUAAGCUAACUGAUUGUAAGUGAAUUUAAAUGAUAGAAGAAGGUGGAUGGGGAAAUAAAAGUAUUAGUUAUAAAGCUAGACUUAUAGCUAAUGGGUUCACAUAAAAGGAAGGUGUUGACUAUACUGAAAUUUUUUCAUCAUAGUUAAAUAUACAACUAUUAGAUGCAUUCUUGCUCAUAGUGUUAGCAUAAUUAGUAGAUUCAUGAGUAACCCUGAAGAAGAACAUUGUAAUUCUUUAAAGUGGCUUCUAGGAUAUCAGGAAGAAAUUUUAGAUUUUGGACUUGUUUUUAAAAUGAAUAAAGAUGGGAUAACUUUUAAAGGUUAUACAGAUCGUGAUUUUGCUAGAAAUAGAGAUAAUAGGAAAUCUGUUUUAGCUUAUUUCUUUACACUGUGUGGCACUGUAAUUAGUUGAAAAUCUCAAAUUUAUAAGGUUGUGGCUUUGUCCUCAAUUGAAAAAAAUACAUUGUUGCUUCUGAUGCUAUUAAAGAAUGUAUUGGUUAAGUAGGCUAUUGAGUGAACUUGGUUUUACUGACGAAAAUGCAAUUCUGCACUAUGAUAAAAGUGCUUUACAUCUGAAUAAAAAUUUCAUGUUUCAUGAUAGAACUAAACACAUAGACAUUAAAUGUCAUUUUAUUAAAGAUAGUAUUUCAUGAUAAUUAUGAAAAUUGGUAAGCUUUGUACCCAAUUUAAUCCUUCAGAUAUGGAAACUAAAACAAUACAUUUAAACAAAUUUCAUAAUUGUUUGAAGUUAUUAUCUAUUGAUACUUUGUAAUGUAUAAAUAAGUACUUAGAGCAAAUGAAAAUUAAAUUACUAAUAUUACUCUUGGCUGUACUUUUGAUCCCAAAUUUUUGGUAGCAAAGUAAAAGUUGUUGAAGCUCGAACCAGUGAUCUGUGUGAUGUGCUCCCGAAAUUUGGUUAAAUUCACAUCACUGGAUAUGCAACUCUUUUGAGUUGAGGCUUUUAUAUAGGAUGGCAGCACGUGUCCUUAUCUUGGCCCUUCAUUUAGCAUCUUUGAUGUAUUAGAUAUAAAAGGAACACAGUGUCGUUUCAUUUCUUCUUCUUCUGACGGUUUAGUCCGAAAGAUAAAUGCAUUUUCUGUUGAAGGCUAGGGUUUUGAUCUAUAGUUCUUUUCUCUCUUGAACAACUCAUUCGAGAUUGUGAUCUAUUUUUAGCCUCUAAUAUCUACAAUAUUUUGAGUGAUUCCUGAAAUAAUGAGAGGGUUCCUGCAGUUAUAGUUUCAGUAGGCAUGUUCAAGUUUGUUGAGUGAUUCUUCGUUGAUCUCAUUUUAUAAUUGAAGAGAUAAGUGUAAUGUACUUCUCUCUUGUGUUGGAAAAAUCAAUAUGCAAUCUUUGUUGCAAUUUUGGGCGAUUUAGUGCAACUGAGAUUGUCAACGGGGGAUGUAGGCGUUAUAUGAUCACGAACCUCCGAGGCUUAGGUCGAAAGAAAUCGCUUGUGUUCAAUCUUUUAAUUUUCUACAAGUUUAUUUUCAGUUGUUUGUGAUUACACGAAAUCUUGUUUUAAUACUGUGUGACUUGGGCCUUUUUAAAAUGUCCAACUAUAAACUGGUAACCUUGUUCUACAAAGUGAUAUUUUAGGAAUUGGACACUGUAAUAUUAAAUAAUAUACAAGAUAGACCAUCGAUGCAUAUGGAAAUGUUAGAAUGGUUCCUCAUGUACUUUAUAGAACAUUGUAAUAUAAUUCAGUGAUUAAUUGUGUAUGUCUUGUGUGUAAAAAUAAGCUGAUUUAUUAUCAUCAAGUUUUAUUCAUGCUCAUCUUUUUUGGUGUUAAUUUUUCAAAUAGUCAUUGAACUUUGCCAAAAAAUUUCAGGAAGUCACCGAACUUCAAAACUUUCCUAAAUAAUCACUGAACUGUGCCAAAAGUUCCCAAAAGGUCACCGAAUUUCAAAACUUUCCUAAAUAGUCAUUGAAUUAUGCAAAAAGUCCAUAAGGAGUCACUAAACUACUGAUGUAUGGGGUCCCAAUUUGCAAAGUUGAGUGACCCCUUAGGAACUUUUUACAAAAUUCAGUGACCAUUUAGGAAAGUUUUGAAAUUCGAUGGUCUCCAAGGAACUUUUGAUAAAGUUCAAUGAUUAUUUAGGAAAGUUUUAAAAUUCGGUGACCUCUUGAAAACUUUUGACAAAGAUCAGUGAAUAUUUGAGUAAUUAACUCUCUUUUUUGUGAUGCAUAAUUAUUCUUUCAUCUUAUUGUCCUUCAAAUGUUUUCUGUUUAUGCCAUGGCACCUGAGUAAGUGGCGUGUUGAGACCCACUUGGAUGUUUGAAUGGCCUAUAAUUUAUACCAUUAUGUAAUGUGCUAUCUCUCAUAAGAUUUCAUGGUGUCAUCUUUAUGGAACUUCGUGAUUACAUAAUUUUGCGAUGUUCAAAUUUUAAAUAAAUCCUAAUAGUGUUUCUUCAUUUAUAUCCUCUAUUAUUUUGCAGCACUUUAUAAUUUGAACAUAGAGAACUGUUCGAUCACAUCAAGAACAAUUCAAAAGGUUGCCGAUUCACAGGAUUCUGAAUCUGUACUUAUGAAUCUUUGUUUAGGUACCUCCAUUUUAACAAGUCAAGAGUUCCAUCUUUGUAGUCUAUCUGUAUCUGACAAAAAAUGUUUUCACGUUAUUUUUUCCCUUUAUUUUAAAUAGGAUCCAACAACCCAGUAUCUGGAAAUGCUAUAGUUAAUCUUUUUCUCAAACUUGCUACUUUAAAGAGGUUUAAAUGAUUAUUAAAUUAUUUUUCCUUUUCGAUAACAUUUUUAUGUGUCUGGG
rnacentral:lncRNA from 1 species